UGCUGUCGUUAAAAUAAUCGUCUCCAUAUAAACGUGUGCAUUUUAUGUGUUUAAUGCAUAAGACCACAUGGGAUACGUUUACGGAGCAGUUAAAUAGCUUGGGACCGCCGAUUAAAAACACCAAGGAAUGCAAAGAGUAUGGACUCACUAUAAAGCAAAUUCGAUGGGGUUGAAUUUGCAUUUAGACCUGAGGAGCGUUCACAGAAUGUUGAAUCUACGGAACCACAAUUGCCAAAGAACAAUCGCAGAAAGAACAAGUUGGAGGACGAACGUAUACAAAUAUUAAAAACGCAAGCAAAAAAUCAGGAGAAGAUCUUAGAGACAUUAAAAAAAAUUAAAAGCAAUUCAUACAAAAAUUACCAACUAAAUAAAAAAAUUUAUGAACUAAAAAAGAAGAAA